GUAAGACAGACGAUCGCGUAUAUCUUCGGGAUAUAUGAGGAAAGUCCGGGCUCCGCAGGGCAAGGAUGCCGGAUAACGUCCGGCGUAGGUAACUAUAGGGAAAGUGCAACAGAAAGUAUACCGCCGAACGGCAUUGCCGUGGUAAGGUUGAAAUUGUGAGGUAAGAGCUCACAGGGAUGCAUGGUAACAUGUGUCCCCGGUAAACCCCAUCCGGAGCAAGACCAAAAAGGGCUUAUGGCUUCGGCCAGAUGGCGGCCCGUCAUCGCCCGGGAGGUAGGUCGCUUGAGCCUGUCGGUAACGGCAGGACCAGAUAGAUGAUCGUCAGAUACAGAACCCGGCUUAUGUCUUGCC
rnacentral:RNase_P_RNA from 1 species